rnacentral:rRNA from 1 species
AACGAACGCUGGCGGCAGGCUUAACACAUGCAAGUCGAGCGCCCCGCAAGGGGAGCGGCAGACGGGUGAGUAACGCGUGGGAAUCUACCCAUCUCUACGGAAUAACGCAUGGAAACGUGUGCUAAUACCGUAUACGUCCUUCGGGAGAAAGAUUUAUCGGAGAUGGAUGAGCCCGCGUUGGAUUAGCUAGUUGGUGGGGUAAAGGCCUACCAAGGCGACGAUCCAUAGCUGGUCUGGGAGGAUGAUCAGCCACACUGGGACUGAGACACGGCCCAGACUCCUACGGGAGGCAGCAGUGGGGAAUAUUGGGCAAUGGGCGCAAGCCUGAUCCAGCCAUGCCGCGUGAGUGAUGAAGGCCCUAGGGUUGUAAAGCUCUUUCACCGGUGAAGAUGAUGACGGUAACCGGAGAAGAAGCCCCGGCUAACUUCGUGCCAGCCGCCGCGGUAAAAC